rnacentral:rRNA from 1 species
GACGAACGCUGGCGGCGUGCCUAAUACAUGCAAGUAGAACGCACAGUUUAUACCGUAGCUUGCUACACCAUAGACUGUGAGUUGCGAACGGGUGAGUAACGCGUAGGUAACCUGCCUGGUAGCGGGGGAUAACUAUUGGAAACGAUAGCUAAUACCGCAUAAUAUUAAUUAUUGCAUGAUAAUUAAUUGAAAGGUGCAAUUGCACCACUACCAGAUGGACCUGCGUUGUAUUAGCUAGUAGGUGAGGUAACGGCUCACCUAGGCGACGAUACAUAGCCGACCUGAGAGGGUGAUCGGCCACACUGGGACUGAAACACGGCCCAGACUCCUACGGGAGGCAGCAGUAGGGAAUCUUCGGCAAUGGACGAAAGUCUGACCGAGCAACGCCGCGUGAGUGAAGAAGGUUUUCGGAUCGUAAAGCUCUGUUGUAAGAGAAGAACGGGUGUGAGAGUGGAAAGUUCACACUGUGACGGUAGCUUACCAGAAAGGGACGGCUAACUACGUG